UCUACCAUAUGUUGCAUCGCUAUUUUUAUUAACAAACACGUAGACUACACGAUCUAGGGAACUAAGAAAGUUGAUUUUGUACGUUAAAAGAAGAGAAAAACAUGAGGGAAUUGUAACAUUUUUUAGGAAUGGGACAUUUAACUUUUAAAAAGCUGUAAUCUUUUACUAGAACUCUUUUGAAAUGUAUAUUUUUUGGGUUUCUAUAGAAAAGCUGAGUAACAGAAAUCGUUUGUA